CUGCUGCUUUCUUCAUCUUUCACUGAUCAAGUACCCCAUCAUCUAUUUUUCCUAAGAACACAGAAACCCAAAGCUUUUCAUCACUAACAGUUCCUUAUGCUUUCAUUAAGUCAGGGAGGAGAAAGGAGAAGACAAGGAGGAAAAACAACUCUGGAGGUUGCAACAUGCAUAAGUACCGUAAAAUCCCAAAGCUUUCAACAGAAGUUCAUCCCUCCAAGCAUCUACCAGAGAAAUGAAAGAGAUCUAGUAACUGCAGUAGUGAAGUUUAGUUAAAACACUUGUAGGUCACGAUUUCAAAAAUAAUUUCAAUUCUCAAUUUCUGUAAACCUAACUGGUUAGAUAUGAAAUGCUGCCCACGUCUGCACUUACAUGUCAUACUGGAGCAAAUUUAAUUCCCUUUUCUAUACUGAAGAGAAGGAAAAGGAGUUUAUAUGUAGAUAGCUGGCUUGCUCAGGACUCAGCUGGAAUCCUACCUUUCUAGCUUGCUUCCCCAUGCGCUCACUUGAUUUGAGUUCACAAAGGCAGGGCCCAAAAGCCCAGCAGUUCAACUUGACUCUCCUAUGUUAUUAUUUCUUUAAUAUCCCAUUUUUAAUGAGAGUGACAUAAGUACUUAAGCAUUCAGAAUAGCUUCCUUCUAAAAUUAAAUAUAGCUGUCUUUAAAAAAAAAAAUUGAACUUUGGAAACAUGUUAGAUAGAAAAGAUUCCACAGACCACAAGCAUGCAUAACUUACAAUCGCAGUCAGACUUCAAAGGUCCAUCCUUUACACCCACACCAGGGCCCUUUUUAUUGCAAUUCUUUUCUAAAUAACUAAUUACCGACUAGGCAUUAUAUAGGCAAUUUACACUUUCCCUUUUAUUCUUCAUGGGACAGUUGACAUAAUGCUGAGAGCACAACUACCAGUUUAACCAACAGCUACGCAAUUUUGGUCAGGUCACUUGAUCUAAGUUUCCCAGGAUACUGGGUGUGUACAGUAACUUCUGUUCCAUCGUGCUAUGUAGGCUCUACCACAAUCGACUUCAGGUCUAACUUGGCAGCUCCAGCGAAGUAACUCUUCCUUACUUAGAUUGAUCGCUGAGGCUUUAGUAAUGGUUUUUCUCAGAGGUUUAUAGAAAAAUGGCAUGACAAGUGACAAAGCUUUGAAAUUUCCACUUGCAUGCUCGUUUGUGUGUUGCUUCUAGCUCCCCAGUAAGAACUGCAGACACAAGUAUGUUUGGUUUCACAGCUCCCAGACAAACAGUCAGCUUUUUGUAGCUGGAUCUGUACUCUGCUGGAGGUGCCUUUCUUCUGGUCCCCAGCAGCAUGGCUCUUUCCAGCAGAGCUGCCAAGGGAGGUGUCUGUGCAGCCCUAACCACCCCCUGCCAUUGCCCUGAGAAUGGAUUUUGAGUUAAACAUUACGGGUGCCCUGUCUUAGAAUAGAAAUUGAUCCAGACAGUUCUGAAGCCAAGGUCCAAUCUCCGCACGUGCUUUGGCUCCUAUAUGCAAAUCUCACAUUUGCUACACAGUUCAGCAGCCAGAGUGAAACAACUGCUACAGAAAACCACACUCGCAGAAGGACGAGCAUCCUCAGAGCGCUGCGGCUCGAAAGACAGCCAACGUACGCAACAGGGACCCGGUCAGCAUAUGGGAUACCAACACUUCUCCUGCAAAAUGCAAACUCAAGUGCUUCGUACAUCUGAAGGCCUUGUCCCUGCCACAGGUGCAAAGGUGGUAACCCCACUUCAGAGAGAGACCAGGACUUGGAGAAGGAAGCCCACCAUGUCAGCAGCUGACCUGCAAGCAGAGCACACAAAGGGAGCCCCCGCUCUGCUAACCCUGCCUCUGCCCAGCC